rnacentral:rRNA from 1 species
UACGUAGGGUGCAAGCGUUGUCCGGAAUUAUUGGGCGUAAAGAGCUCGUAGGCGGCUUGUUGCGUCGACUGUGAAAACCCGUGGCUCAACCAUGUGGUCUGCAGUCGAUACGGGCAGGCUAGAAUUCGGUAGGGGAGACUGGAAUUCCUGGUGUAGCGGUGAAAUGCGCAGAUAUCAGGAGGAACACCGAUGGCGAAGGCAGGUCUCUGGGCCGAUAUUGACGCUGAGGAGCGAAAGCGUGGGGAGCGAACAGG